rnacentral:tRNA from 1 species
GCCCAGGUGGUGGAACUGGUAGACACGCUACUUUGAGGGGGUAGUGACUGCAAGGUCGUGCAAGUUCGAUUCUUGUCCUGGGCA